UGUGUGUGUGUGUGUGUGUGACUCAAUUUUUAUUCGUUGGUGACCAGCAUCCCAUUAGUGGAUUCAACUUGACCAUAUUCAGACUGAUUUACUGGCAUAGCAAUCCACAGGACACUUCAUGCUCUGUUUGUCUCUGUGUGCCCUUGUGUGUGUAUGUUUGUAUGUCUGUGUUUAUGCUUGCAUCCAUGUUUGCACACAUUGUUUUCUGAACAUGGGUUAUGUGUCACUGUGUUUCUGUGUGUGUGUGUGUGUGUGUCCCUAUUUGUAAACAUUGUUAGGCAUUUCAUCUUUGCCUUUGCUUUGUGUAUCUGCUGGCAGUUCCUUUGUAACUUUCUAAAUUUUCUGCUAAUUUUUCACAGUUUGAGGAAACCUCUCUUUUUGCAGUUGGCCGUUUUAUGUUUCCAAUAUUUCUGCUAAAAUUAUUACUUUUCUGCUAAAUUAUACUAUUUCAGCUCCUAUGUUGCAUUGUGUUACUAUUAUACUACUAUAUUAAGUUCUCUUACACCAUUUCUUCCACGUUUUUAGGUUUGUGCUACAUAUUAACAUUUUUGCUGUAUUACAACACUUUUGCCAUGUUGUACUAUUUCUGCCAAGUUACUAUGUUUCCGCUGAGUUACAAUAUUUCAGCUAUAUUUUCCUUUGAUAUAGUAUUUUUGCAAACGUAUUACGUUUCUUCUUAAGUUUGCGUGUGUGUGUAUGUUUCUAAUUUUGUGCUGUUCUUCCUUGUUUUUCUAAAGUUUGUGCCAAUUUGCCUUAGUAGAGCACCAAAUAUUUUUGAGCAAAGUUUACCAAUGGUUAACUUAUUUUCAGCUGUUAAUAUUGAUUUUCCAAUAUUCCUGCUAAGUUACCCAUUCCUACAAUUCAUAUUUUAAAUACAAAUGUUCAACACUUGAAGAUUCACCCAUCUCUUCUCAACAAAACUAAGCUCUAAGAAUGACAGUUCUAGCCCCUACGGUUAGGAAACGUACACACAGCACACAGCCCGACACAUAACACAACAGCAGAGAGAGCACAGACUUUAAGGUGGCGAGGCGUGAUUGCAGAUAACGUCAGGUGCGACCACCUCUCUUGCAACGGCACUGCAGGCCACAUAAAAUAUUUAUGUAGAUAUUUUGCGAAUAUUUAUUAUUCAUUUUUAAAGAGCAUAGUGCUUUUUUCCCAAUUAUUUUUUAAAUUCAGGUCAAGGUUCAGUUUUUGUUUGAUACAUGGACAAUUCAAGUUCAGCCUUUUAAUUCAUUUAAGAGAGACCUUCAACUGGAUGUUUUUAUUUUUUGUUAUUUUUUUAAGAGUUCAAAAUGUCCGUUAAACGAAUAAAAUUUCUUUGUAGCAUUUCAUGGAUUUCAUACGCAACACACUAUAGUUGUUUAUACAAAGCAUAAAGGUAAAAAACAAUGUGUGCAGUGUUAUGUUCAUUUUAGAUGUCAAAAAGUAUUUUUGGGUCCCAGUGUUUUCUUUUCCGUGCAAACCGGGUCCAAAUGGCUCUUUGGGUCUUAAAUGUUGCUGACCCCUGGUUUAGAUGGUUGUCUUUAAAACCUCACUGAAGAGUCUUGUUUAGACAGCCACACCUUUACCUCACUGCAGCAGGGGUGAAGAAGUGCGUGCCGGUCCAUUCAGGUCAGAAUUCAUAUGAUUACAACCAAUACGUAUUAGAAUAAAAUAAAUAAAUUUGCAAUGAACAUGUCAGGAGUCACUGUUAAAAAGUCUCAUGGCAGUGGGUUUAAAGGACCUCUUGAACCUCUGACUCAGUGCAGUGAGGUGAGCCUCUGCAGCCCCUACUGUCCUGUGAGGAUGCUUAAGUGAACAGGAGAAGACGAUUCUUAUUACUCCAGCCAGUUAAAUAAAUCUAUCAUAAUACACUACAUUUUAACAUAAUGACCUUAUAUUUAUUUAUGACUUUUAGCCAUUAUUUCAACUUCAAAUAAUCCUGUUUGAAAUAUUUAUUCAACUUAUAGAAUUAAAUUUCUGCUAGCUGUUUUCUGUUCCAAAGAAAUCUAGUAUAAUAAUAUUUAAAUUUACAUAUAUUUUUCACGUUUUCAAUGCCAAUUUUGUUUAAUACCGGAGUUUCCCACUACCCCUGAAUGCCUCUUGUUUUAUGUCUCCGGCUCACUCCUGCAUCUCCGCCCACUCUCUGCUGAUCCCUGCCGAGUGAACGAGAUCUUUGGUUUUGCCUUUGCUGACUGCUGAUCUGAUCGUCUUAAGUCUGGUGACCUGCUGCAGAAGCUCUCUCCCUCUAUCAUUGACAAGCCAUUCAGUCUGUCCUAUCACUCUACCCACUCUAUCUAUUUUGACAAGACGUUCUAUCUUGCUUCACUCUAUCCCACAAGCUCUAUCUAAGUUAUCAAAAAUCACGUUUUUAACUGGAAUCAAAUUUUGACUGGAAUCAAGUUUUGACUGGAAUAAUCAAGUUUUGACAUGGCCCCAUUUUUGGGAAAUUGAAGUUACCAGUACUUCAUCUAUCUGUUACAGAAUUCUGAGAGAUCUCUGCUCUCACUCCUCCUUCUUUUCUGUCGUUAAACUCUCUCACAUCCAGUCUUUUUGCUGGAAAUUACAAGUAGAAAGUUGACUAUACAGUAGUAUAUUAAAAGUACAGUAAAACAGAGUAGAAAUUAUUUACGCAGCCCUAUAUUUCUAAUUUUUAUUUGUACAUUUGUAGCACGUUGGAAUAAACACUGAUUAUUUGGCUUACAGGUGCAAUUACUUUGAUAAAUUCUAUAAAAUAUUCACCUUUUUAAGGUUUAUUUGGAAUAAGAUAAUCUUAUACUGUAAUACAUAUUUUCAGAGUGUUAUAUUCACAUAAAUAUUUAAUUUGAUUUCUUCAAAUACCUUUUGCUAGUUUGUUUCAUUGGAAAUAACAUUUGAGAACAGUCGGUUUAUACUAUUAUUAUUUAAGGACAACCACAUUUCUUCUAGUCAUUGUAAGUGUUCGUAUUGUCGUCGAGAAUCUGCCCUGAGGACUUCCCGUUUCCUGACUGCUGCAGAACAUCCAGCUGAAGAGUCCUCAUCGCCUGUCUGAUCACCACAGCUCUUUAUAUUUGCUUAAAAUCUUAGAUAUCUGAAAGAUUAAGACAAAGUCUACUUAAAAGCUAAGAGUUAUUAUACCCUGUUGAUUGUUGUGAUUUCUACAUAUCCCUUUACAGAAAUAUAGAUCUAAUCAUUAACCAGUCUGGUUAAAAAAUAUACAGUUUUUGAAAAUACUACAAUAAAACUGACCCAAGUUUUUUUUUUUAGAGAACUUUGAAUAUUCUUUAUAUUGUGUUUGGAACAAAGCCAGCCUUUUACAUCUAUUACAUAUUUAUAAGAACAUUUGAAUACUCUUACAUUUCUCAGAUUAAAUAGCAAUUUGAAGAGUAAUCCGUUUUCAGCAUUUCCAAGUUGUGUUCAUAUCUGUAUAAAUACAUAUAAGCUCCAGUUUGUACUUUAAUAAAAUGCCACGGAAAGGUCAAAGGUCACAGUCCCAGAAGCUUAGACGACAGAAGGAGAAAGAACAGGUAAAUGUUUCUCUCAGCGGUGAGCAGGUAAAGGUGUCUGUUACAAGUAUUCCCAGUCCAGAAGUGCAGAGCAGAGUUCAGACAGCCACAGUGUCUUAUGCAGAUGUGGUAAAGAGAGAUGUUCAGUCAGUGUCUGUGCCAAAGGCUAAAGUACAGCAGGUAAUCCAGACUGAACCCCAGGUAACUGUGCAAACGCAGCAUAAUGGAGAAGCUCCAGGACCAUCUCAUGUACAAGUUACAAACAGUGAAAGUCACCCACGAGUGAGUAGCAUCUGUGCGUCCCGAAGCCAGGCCUCUGCUAAGUAUGGAAAGUACCGAAAUCAGCAAUGCAUGGCUAACAGUUUGGUUUUCCUGUCAUUCUUACACGAGGAUGAAUUCAUUACCAGAGCAGAUCUUAACCGUGUGUUGGACAAAGGCCAUGCCAUGUAUUCAGAUGCCAGAAAGAGGUUUGUGACCAGAGUGUUUCUAGCCUGCGAUGAGCUUCCCACAGUGGUCACCAGCCGCGCACACGAGUAUCAAGUGGAUAUGUCUCAGUUAGCUUGUUACGGCACAUUUGACGGUACAGAUCACCUUCCGAGCCUUGAACAGGGACUACAGUGUUUGGUUUCAGACCUUCGCUACGCUUUGCUCGUCAUGGGAGGAACAGUCAUUGCAGUUUGCAGGCUGACUUCAGGUGAAUACGC